rnacentral:rRNA from 1 species
UACGGAGGGGACAAGCGUUGUUCGGAAUUACUGGGCGUAAAGAGCGCGUAGGAGGAAAUGUAAGUCAGAGGUGAAAUCCCGGGGCUCAACCUCGGAACUGCAUUUGAAACUGCAAGUCUUGAGUCCGGAAGAGGUGAGUGGAAUUCCUAGUGUAGAGGUGAAAUUCGUAGAUAUUAGGAAGAACACCAGUGGCGAAGGCGGCUCACUGGUCCGGUACUGACGCUGAGGUGCGAAAGCGUGGGGAGCAAACAGG